rnacentral:rRNA from 1 species
CCUGCGGAAGGAUCAUUACCGAGUGAGGGCCCUCUGGGUCCAACCUCCCACCCGUGUCUAUCGUACCUUGUUGCUUCGGCGGGCCCGCCGUUUCGACGGCCGCCGGGGAGGCCUUGCGCCCCCGGGCCCGCGCCCGCCGAAGACCCCAACAUGAACGCUGUUCUGAAAGUAUGCAGUCUGAGUUGAUUAUCGUAAUCAGUUAAAACUUUCAACAACGGAUCUCUUGGUUCCGGCAUCGAUGAAGAACGCAGCGAAAUGCGAUAAGUAAUGUGAAUUGCAGAAUUCAGUGAAUCAUCGAGUCUUUGAACGCACAUUGCGCCCCCUGGUAUUCCGGGGGGCAUGCCUGUCCGAGCGUCAUUGCUGCCCUCAAGCACGGCUUGUGUGUUGGGCCCCCGUCCCCCUCUCCCGGGGGACGGGCCCGAAAGGCAGCGGCGGCACCGCGUCCGGUCCUCGAGCGUAUGGGGCUUUGUCACCUGCUCUGUAGGCCCGGCCGGCGCCAGCCGACACCCAACUUUAUUUUUCUAAGGUUGACCUCGGAUCAGGUAGGGAUACCCGCUGAACUUAAGCAUAUCAAUAAGGCGGAGGAAUCAUUACCGAGUGAGGGCCCUCUGGGUCCAACUCCACCGUGUCUAUGUACCUUGUUGCUUCGG